rnacentral:snoRNA from 1 species
ACUGUUCAUUGAUGAGGCCAUGAAACAAGCACUGUACAUAGUGUCUGGCAUCCAUGAGGAAACAUUCCAUGCUGUCUUCCUUCUGAGAACAUC